GGGAGGGGAUCCUCUAUCAAUAUCUUCCUCCAACAGCAAAAGUUGCCUAACUUAUCCUGACCAACCCAACCUCCACUUUUGGGUACAAAGUAUCCUGGAAAAGAAAAGAGAAGUUUGGAGUAAGGAUUUGUAUAUUAGGAGAGGAAGAGAGGUACGUUUUAGCCCUGAAGUAUGAUAUAUAUUGCUUCAAAGAAUAGGAAAAAGAUGAAAAUUAUCACUCUGUUUUUAAACAUAUACUAACUAGAGCUUUAUAAUAACAGCUUCUUCCCUCCUCCUCCAUCCCCCAGCCACGUGGAAAAAUACUAUUUAUAGUGAUUAAAUCCACAGUCAUAGAACCUGAAGAUGGGUUUUAUAUCAGUUUUUACUUUUUGUAGGGGGCAGGAAGGGGUAAGUUAUUAGACUUUCCAAAGUGUAAGAAAAGAACGUGGCAAAUAAAGCUGACAGCAUUUGGCUACCAGCAGCAGCAGUGACUCAAAGGAGAGCUUCGGAAAGGAAGGGACGUGGGUGAGUCAACCAACCAGUGGCUUUCGUGAAAACCAGAGGGAAGCGAACCCCAUCCCUCCUUCGGGAUGGAUGCAGACAGCGUGCGGAGCCUCCUGGCAGCCUGCUUUCCUCCCGGGCUGCUGGGUGCAUUAGCUUCGCUGGAAACUCCCACUCUGCCCCUGAGCUGUGUGUUCAAGCCUUGGAGCAAACCCUCCAUCUGAACUCUCCCCCGUGUUGUUUGGACUGCCCAUGUAGGUGCUGGAGAUGAGGUGGCUUUGUGUGAGGAGACUGCAGAUGUGUGGCAGGGAACACUCGAGGCCCACAGAACAUUUGCAAUUUGUCCGAGACCAGAGAGAGAGAAUAAGGACCUCGGCCGCCUUCCUACCUGCGCAACAGGGCCCUCCCCAGAUGCCGCGCUGCUCAGUUCCACGCUGCCCCACGGAGCAAGCGGACUGGACGCACUGGCUCAUUCAGCACAAACGUGCCAGGAACCUACCUACCAUGCUAAGCCCUGGAUACAAGGCAAAUGCUCUUCUGCUAAAAAAUGUGAGGUCCCUUCCUCCCCUCUAA
rnacentral:lncRNA from 1 species